rnacentral:lncRNA from 1 species
GAAGGAGGGGAAAAAAAUGGUUUUCCAACGAAAAACCUUGGCGUCUCCAGACAAGCGGAUGCAAAUGGAAGAGAAGGGGAGAGAAGGUGGGACGCUAGCUGGCAGAGUUGGCCGGCCAAGAGGUCGUGGAAGAGGGGUUGAAAGGAGGAGAAAAGAGGUGGAGCAGCGGAGAGUGGAGCGAGGGUGGCAAGAGGAGGGAAAGGGAUGCCGUAGGAGGGUUGAUAUCGGCUAGAAGGUGAGCUUCGGAACGCAAUGUCCGGCCUGGUCCAGCCGGCAGAGAUGCGAGUAUUGAUCUAGGCUCAGACCUAACCCACCCUCCUCGGCCACCUCCAACCGCCUCCUUUCGCCUCCACCAUCUCCGAGCUCGUCGUGAAGCCAGCCCUGCUCCGUUCCUAGGGGUCGUCGCCGAGAGAAAAAGGGAUGGAAACGCGGGGCGAAGUCUGAACGGUGGAGGAGGAGGAGGAGGAAGAGGAGGAGGGCGGCGGAGAAGGGUAUACGGAGGGGGAGGAUGGGGGCUGGAGGCUCGAAGGAGGACCUCGAAGUCCGGCUUGCCGAGCUGUGCUGCCCCUUCAGCUACGCACGUUCACUCUCACCUCCUCCACCUCCGAUCUCCUCUUCCUCUUACAUUAGACACGCUGCAGUGGUGCUCAGUUUUUGGGGAUUGGUGGAGGGAUCCGCAGUCGAGGAAGGAAACGUUUCGCAAUUUUAUAUUCGUGGCGAUCGAGGAUCGAGGCAGACUUGUCGCGAUCUCAUAUUCGGCGCUUUCUAACUUUAUCGAAGGGGAUGGGGAGGAUCGAAAAUGCGUCGAGAAAGAGGGAGGGAAGGGAACGAAAGCGAAUCGUAAAGAGAAAUAAUACGUUUCGCGUGUACAUCGCGUGGAGAUUGCGUUGAAACAAUAGGAGGAAAGAAAUAAAAGGAAUAGCGUGUAAAGGGAAUGAAUAAUGGGGAUUUGAAAUAUGGUGUGUCGUGGAUUUCCACGUACAGCUGGUAUACAAGAGCGUAUCCGCGUCUCAACGCGUUAUAUAUCUGGUUACGCUCUUUUGGUAAAAUUGUACGAGGCGAUCGAUUAACCGGAGGAAUUAAUUUCGACGAUGCUUUUCACCCGACCAAUCGCCAUCGAUCGGAUAAUGAAUUUUCUUUCGAACAAUUCGAUAUUCCGAAGCGCAAUGAUCGUUUAAAAAAUUUUUAUAAUGAAAUUCGUCAUCUCUCGAUGGUAGGAAUUUAAUUUAAGAAAGGGGAGGGGGAAGAAAAGAGAAGGAGAAGCGAGAAGAGAGAGAGAUAGAAGUGAAAAGGAAUGGAAAAACGGGUCACAUCGGGGGGAGAAUUGAAAAUCGGAGGUUCUUGCUCGAUUCUCACGGCCGUUCGUGCCGUUUAAUGAAUAAAUGGCGAGUUUCCUUGGAGGUGGAAAGGGGUGAAAAUCGAAGGCAGCCACGCCCUGGCUGGAAGAAAGAGGAACAAAAGGAAAAAUCGCUCUCGCCGAUUGCUCCGCGACCCAUUGAAUCCGGAAGUCGCCACUCGAAAGGGAAGAGAGAGAGAGAGAGAGAGACGCGCGCGUUUCGAGCGCGUAUCAAGGCCAAGGUUUAUUAGCGUCGGAUCAGUUUCAGAAGCCAGGCUUAGGUGUCAAGUGGUCGCAAGUGGUCUGAAGUGGUGCUCGUAAAACGCGAAUAUAAACGACGGACGGACGGCCGGUCGAAAGUGUUGCCGUCUGCUGCGGCGGCCCCGCUUUCGCCUCACUUUGUCCUUUGCUCCUUUGCUCGCGCUGCUCCAUUCCCGCCAACUUUUUCCCACCACCGCCACCGCUAUAUUUAGCCUGUCAACACGUAGAUAGAUCGAAGAUGCGCGUAUCGUUUCCCUUCCCUUCUCUUCCCUUUCCGAAUAUUUUACUCCACCACUCGGUUUCACCCAACGUAAUGAUAUAUCGCGACAAUGAGAAUAUUUUCGUAUUUAGGUCAAGCGCGUCAAAGCGUUGGGAAAUAUUAGCCGACGGUAAGGAAAUUAAUCGAUAGUAUAGUUUCCGUCAUCACCGUGACCAGCAACACUAUCUUAAAUCGAUAUAACGGAGGAGUAUACGUGGCGUACUUACGUGGAAUAACACUUCGGUCGGGGUAACAGCGGAUGGAAAGAACGGCGGAUGGUGGUCGGAAGGCGAUGGAAAAUUCAUGGUUCGAUGGUACGGUUUGGAAUACUGUUUCCACGGCCGUUCAUUAUCGAGGGUGGAAGAGGAAGAACUCCCCUUCUGCUCGAGCGAUUUCGGUAGCGGAGUGGACGCGGCCACGAUUUUCGCAAUAAUUUCAACAGUUGCGGAGAGAGAGCGAGCUCUGAAACCGGUAUCCGAGCGUGGAACUUGAAGAGGUUGAAUCAUCAUUUCAUCGCUCCGCUCUUGUUCUUUCGAAGAUCAGUCGAAAAUCUACUGGAGGAUGACUUCUCAAAAGAAAAAAGAAGAAAAAGAAAAAAGAAACAUCGGAAUCCCUGGAAAUGAAGUGACGGAGAAAAACCCGAGAUGUAGAAAUCCCAUCACCAUAAAGGCUGCUACAGAGAUUGGAAGCAGCAGUUUGGAAGGAAGAGAAUAGCGCGGGAACAAAGAUGGUGUUCCGGGUUGUCCUACUUGAAGAAUAUUCUUAAACUUGGGUGGGCGCACGUGCUACGAACUCUCAUAAAUUAGAGAUGCUCGAUCGGCCAAUUAAUACGAUGUUUCCAGUGGCGUGUACGAUCUACGCGGAGGAGAAAGCGUGGAAAGGAAGGAGAGAGAGUGUACGUCGAGGGAGGGCUGACAAACGUGGUUGGGAUUGGCCCGAUUGGCAGGAAUGGAGAGAGAGAGAGAGGGACGAAAAUUAUUGGUCAAAUACUGAGAAAGCGGCAGCGCGUACGUACAUCAGACGCGCGACGCCGCUGGCAUAAAUUAAAUUAGCAUAAUUUCGUGUUGUCGAGCAACAAAGUGAAAAAUGCCGCGACGCGUCGCGACACGCCGUGGGAACAAGCUCUGGUCUCGAUACGAUUUCGAUCACCUUUCGAUUAAUCGCGAAUUACGCGUGAAAUUGAUUCGAUCGGCGGAUUCGACUCGUCUUCGAAUCGAGGCAACGAUUGCAUCGAUCGUGUACGGAGUGGAUCUCUGGAUUCGGAUGAACCGUGCUUUUCCUCCGCGAUCGCUGACUGCAUUUUUACAGGGAAAAAGAGAGUUUCUGUGCCAGAUUCUCAGAACGAUAAAUACGAGUUUGUGCCUGUUCGAGGACGUUUGCGAUUAAUGGAAAGAAUAUUGUUGUUAAAGAACGAUCCAUUGUACGAAUUAUUAUAUAUAAAAUUUGUAAAUCUUAUGUGCGAAUAAAUAUUAUGUAAGUUGA